rnacentral:rRNA from 1 species
AGUGAACGCUGGCGGUAGGCCUAACACAUGCAAGUCGAACGGCAGCACAGUAAGAGCUUGCUCUUACGGGUGGCGAGUGGCGGACGGGUGAGGAAUACAUCGGAAUCUACUUUUUCGUGGGGGAUAACGUAGGGAAACUUACGCUAAUACCGCAUACGACCUACGGGUGAAAGCAGGGGAUCUUCGGACCUUGCGCGAUUGAAUGAGCCGAUGUCGGAUUAGCUAGUUGGCGGGGUAAAGGCCCACCAAGGCGACGAUCCGUAGCUGGUCUGAGAGGAUGAUCAGCACCACGGGACCUGAGACACGGUCCAGACUCCUACGGGAGGCAGCAGUGGGGAAUAUUGGACAAUGGGCGCAAGCCUGAUCCAGCCAUACCGCGUGGGUGAAGAAGGCCUUCGGGUUGUAAAGCCCUUUGUUGGGAAAGAAAAGCAGCAGGUUAAUACCCCGCUGUUCUGACGGUACCCAAAGAAUAAGCACCGGCUAACUUCGUG